rnacentral:lncRNA from 1 species
UUAGGCUAGUUUCUAAACUCUUCCUUCUUCUACUUCCUGAAAUAAAUCUACUAAGGAAACUAGAAAUUAGUUAUUCAAAUUGGAGUUCUGUUAGUGAAACUAAACCAGUUGGAAGUUAUUGAAUGUAAGGUUUGAAAUUAGAUUUUUUGUUAGAGGGUGAAAUUUGGUUCAGUUAAUUGGGCCUGAUUCUUUGUUAUGUACAUUUGACAAUAUGAAUGCUAGGUUAAUUUCUACAAAUUAGUUAAUGUUUAUGAGAGUUAG